UACGUAGGGUGCGAGCGUUAAUCGGAAUUACUGGGCGUAAAGCGUGCGCAGGCGGUUUUGUAAGCCAGAUGUGAAAUCCCCGGGCUUAACCUGGGAAUGGCAUUUGGGACUGCAAGGCUGGAGUUUGGCAGAGGAGACUGGAAUUCCUGGUGUAGCAGUGAAAUGCGUAGAUAUCAGGAGGAAUACCGAUGGCGAAGGCAGGUCUCUGGGCCGAUACUGGACGCUGAGGAGCGAAAGCGUGGGGAGCGAACAGG
rnacentral:rRNA from 1 species